AAAAUGCGAUACGCAAUGCGAAUUGCAGAAUCCGCGAAUCAUCAGAACCUUGAACGCAACUGGCGCCGGAGGGGAAAUCCCUUCGGUAUGCCUGUUUCAGUGUCUGAAAACUUCCCAACAACAUAAUGUGUCUGACAAAGAGUAUAAUUCCUUAGUGUAUUGUACUUCCGAGUCUUACAUGAAAGAUGUAUGUGUGGGUCUUUGGAUCCAUCGAAUUGUCACUGAUCUUCGGUGAUUUCGAUCGGAUAUCUACUGACCUAGAUACUCAUAGAACUAUUUUAUAUCUUCUAUCUUUUGCAUCUGAAAUCAGGCAAGGCUACCCGCUGAACUUAA
rnacentral:misc_RNA from 1 species